rnacentral:rRNA from 1 species
AUUGAACGCUGGCGGCAUGCUUUACACAUGCAAGUCGAACGGUAACAGGCCUUCGGGCGCUGACGAGUGGCGAACGGGUGAGUAAUGCAUCGGAACGUGCCCAGUCGUGGGGGAUAACGCAGCGAAAGCUGUGCUAAUACCGCAUACGAUCUAUGGAUGAAAGCGGGGGACCGUAAGGCCUCGCGCGAUUGGAGCGGCCGCUGUCAGAUUAGGUAGUUGGCGGGGUAAAGGCUCACCAAGCCAACGAUCUGUAGCUGGUCUGAGAGGACGACCAGCCACACUGGAACUGAGACACGGUCCAGACUCCUACGGGAGGCAGCAGUGGGGAAUUUUGGACAAUGGGCGCAAGCCUGAUCCAGCAAUGCCGCGUGCAGGAAGAAGGCCUUCGGGUUGUAAACUGCUUUUGUACGGAACGAAAAGGCUCUGGAUAAUACCUGGGGCUCAUGACGGUACCGUAAGAAUAAGCACCGGCUAACUACGUGCCAGCCGCCGCCGUAACAC